rnacentral:rRNA from 1 species
UACGUAGAAGACUAGUGUUAUUCAUCUUUAAUAGGUUUAAAGGGUACCUAGACGGUAUAAUUAGUCUAAAAUAAGAUACGGUUAUACUAGAGUUAUAUAUGAGGAGGUGAGUAUUUAUGGAGUAGAGUUGAAAUUCGUUCAUCCCAUAACGACUGGUAUCGGCGAAAGCAACCUUUUAUCUAAUAACUGACGUUUGAGGGACGAAGGCUCGGGUAACGAACAGG